UCCAGGAGAUCACCCACUCCAGAGCCUCCACCACCGGGUUAUCACACCACCAGAGGGCGCCACCCAGCGAGCUUGAUUCACAAUUAUUCACAAGUUCGCCUUGUGCUGAGCGACAUCACCCCUUGGAGUGAUGAGGGAGAGAGCGCCAUCUACCCACCUAAAGAGAGCAAGGCCAAUUGUGCUCUCUUGGGGCUCUGGCAGCUGAUGGCAAGCUACAUGAAAAGAAUUUGAACCGAUUUGGCACCCGACAAUGGCACCCACUGCCACUGGAAAAGAUGGAGAUCUGGCAAAGCAAGCAAACCCUGCUCCUUUCACCAAUCAGAGUAAUGACACUUGUAAUGAUACCACAGACAGCCUAACUCACUAACUCUGUUCACAAUGUUGUGCACAGGUGACUUUGGCUAUGUUCACAUGUUCAGGCUGAAGUGACUCAAAUCUUCUCUCUCGUACCCACACAACUCUUAGUGCAGCUGUGCAGCUAUAGCUGUAAAAACAGCAAAAGCAAGCCACCUGGCCUUUUUUCACCUCUUCAACCCGAGCAUGUACUUUUUACUCUUUUUACUUUUUUUGUACAGUUUACUCUCCACUUGAGCAAAAGAUUCUCCACUAAUUAGCUGAUAAUGCAUUUAUUUCCCUUUGCAAAGCUACGAGUCAUCUCUUAAAAAAGAUGUUUUUUGUUUUUAGUAAAGAAGGCGACAUUGAUAUACGUACCAAUGUGCGCAUGUGAGGUGUUUUAGGGACAGAUUCGUUCACAUUACACACAGAUACAGGUCAGCUACAUUUGUGAAUGUGAACCGUUAAGACAGACAAAUUCGUUCUGAGCAAACAUUCGGAUUUGGGCAAUGUGGCUUGUAAUGUGAGCAUAGCCUUGGAGAUGGCAAAGGCUGCUCAAUAUCCCUGCUCCACCUGUCUUCAGUCAUUUUUGACAGGGCCGAAAGAAGGCCAAGGGGAAAUAGUGAAACAGAGCAGGAAAUGAGGUUAGAAGUGGUUAGUUUAUUAGAGGUGUUAGGUGAGUGAGUACUAUUUAAAGAUCUCUUUGUCUUCAUGAGUUUCUUAAAGGUAGUGAGGGAUGCUCCUGGCACUGGUGACCUUACUACUGAAGACGCAUUGUUGAAAAUACAAAACUGACUACACUGAUGAGUCAAUUCUAAAACCAUGAACCACUUGGUGGUGCUGCUGCUACUCUGGUCUGCUGUCUGAACCAUAGACUGUGUGCACAGUCACUAAUCUGAACAGUGGAAAAUAAAUAUCUUUAAUGUUUGAAAAAAUAGGUAAUCAAAGGAUGACAUAUAUAAAUGUAUUCUAAAAGUAGAUCUUCUACAAUCUAAUGCUCUAUAAAUAGCACAAUAAAGCAAUAAUGUAAAAUAUCUUCAGAGUCUAUAGGGACAUACUUACAAUACAAAUAGCAAAAUACAUACUGUAUAUAUACAGCUCUGGAAAAGAAAGAGACCAAUUGAUCAUGUUUUCUUUUUGCUUUUACCAAAUUGAAAACCUCUGGAAUAUAAUCAAGAGGAAGAUGGAUGAUCAAAGCCACCAAAUCAAGCUAAACUGCUUUGCACCAGGAGUGGCAGUGACUGGUAGAGGAGAACAGCCCAAGAUGCAUGAAAACUGUGAUUAAAAACCAGGGUUAUUCCACCAAAUGUUGAUUUCUGGACUUUUUAAACUUUAUGUUUGUGAACUUGUUUUAUUUGCAUUAUUUUAGGUCUGAAAGCUCUGCCUCUUUUUUGUUAUUUCAGCCAUUUCUCAUUUUCUGCAAAUAAAUGCUCUAAAUGACGAUAUUUAUAUUUUGAAUAAACAACAAUGUUAAUUUUACUCAAACAUAUACCUAUAAAUAACAAAAUCAGAGAAACUGAUUCAGAAAAUCUGUCUGUUUCUGGAGGACUGGAAGUCGUCUAUCAUCGCACUUUUUCUAGAUUUUUCUAGAGUUAGGACCUCAGAGCUUACAUGUAUGACACUUUUGUUGGGUCUUGUCACAUUCCCUAAACAUCACCAAUAGUGACUCAUGUGAAGGUUUGGUGCGAGGUCUUUGUGACAGUGAUGAUGGGCACAUUUUACGUCUGAUAAACCGGAUAUUUAGUGCCUCAGACUGAAGGAGGCUUUCUUUUCUCCCCACCCAUACUGUGACAACUUUAUAAAAAGAAUAAUAAAUGCCACUUCACGCCUAUAACGGCCUCACGCAACCCUACCACAAUAGGGUGGUCCAAUCAGAGCUAGUGCUAGCCAAUUCGGUACCCUAAGCACAAAUGUUUUUUUGUGCCCCCCCUGAAAAUUCUACAGUAAUAUCACUCAGCAGAGGAAACUGACCUG